AGGGGUGGCAUAUGGCACUGAGUGUGGACAGUCGGGAUCCUGGACUUCUUGGCUCACAUCAGCCACUUACCUGCUAGUGCCUUUGAGCAAUCGCUCCCCCCCCCCUUUAUAAAGUGGGCACACAUGAGGCACCCCAGCUUGCUGGGUGGGAUAGCCACACAGGCCUCUCCCACGCUCUGGUCGGAGCCAGGAUGGAGCGAAGCGAUGUGGGCACUUAGCACACACCCCACAGGCGUGAGUGUACCACAGCCAGCUGUCAGGACGAGGAGGAUGACGAAGGGGUAAGUCCAGGGACCCGGGGGGCCCUAACCCAGACUGCAGGGCUUCUGUUCAAGGAGGAGGUGAGUCCAAGCUGCGGGAGGAGUAGAGGUUAGGCCCCCUGGGGAGGCAGGAGGGCGCAGCAGGGUGCCAGGAGGAAGGAGGAGCAGGUGCAGGGGCCUGGAGCCGUGGAGAGGAGUCUGAGAUGGAGCCUCUGGGAGGAGCAGAAGCCAGACUGCGAAGGGCUCCCCUGCAGGCCAAGGAGCUCGGCCUUCUCCUGGGGCUGUGAGCAGGGCCCCGGGGCAGUGGAUGGGAGCGGGUUUGGAGGGGGGGCACCUGGAGGCAGGGAGGCCAUGGCCAGGAGAAGGGGGGACAGAAGCAGGGGACGGUCCCAAGCUGGGUGAUUCGGGGGGGGGGGGCUCUCAGGAGGAGGCAUCAGAGAGUCGGAGGCCCUGCCCAGAGGCCAGAGCUGGAUGGCCGCCUCCAGCCAGGGGGGCCAGGCUGUCCCCACCUCAUCAGCACUCCCUCCACAGCCCGGGCCUGUCACCAGGAGCCCCGGGAAGCAUCCCCUUGGAGAGGCGCCUGAUGGACCUGUCACCACAGUGCCAUCCCGCCCGGCCGGCCCCUCACACUCGCGGGGUAAUCUGCUUUCACCGGGAACAUUGUCCUUCAGCCUCCCCAGCUCGGCUCAGAGCAGGGAGGGCGGGGCGCGCAGGGCUGAGAAGCUGCUUUCUUCACCGAACAAAUGACCUUGGGCCAGGAGCCGGAACAGCCUGGCGAGAAUUCAAACAGCCUGGGCCCGGCAGCCCUGGGCUCGCAGCCCCUCUUCCACAGGCAUCCCAGACAUCUUGGGGUUCCUACACAUGGCCAGGCCAGGAAAUGACCAUGGGGCUGGAGGCUCCUGGAGAGCAGUCGACGUGCCGUCCGCACCCAGUGCCCCCCUCCAAGCCCCCACACUGCCCAGCCUCAGAAAACAUGGAUGGAAGGACUGGGAUGCAGAGAGCUGUUCCCAUCUGUCAGAAUGCUGAUGUGGGCUCGUCUCCUCCCGACAAGGCAGAAUGAUGAUAAGGUUAUUUUUUAAUAUCAGGGAUAUUAAUACUUCUCUUUCUGAUAAUGAGCCAUGGCCUGCUCCCUCCUGCUCCCUGGGGGAGGUCCUUGGGUUGGGCUGGGGGAGGCAGGGGGUGCGUGGGGGCAAGGCUGAGAUGCAGGAGGGCCUACUGCGCGCCACGAACCCUUUCAAUCUUCACAAUAUGAGGGCAGGUGGCAGUGUCCCCGUUGGACAGGUCUGGGCCUGAGGCUCGGAGAGGGGAAGCCAGUUCCCGAAGCCACAGGGCAAGCGGCAAGGGUCAGGCUGGCGGGGCGGGGGGUGGGGGGUCCCAGCCAGGUGUGACUCCAGAGUCCGAGCCCUUUGCUGCCUCCCAACACAUUUAGAGGCUUUUUCCCACCUGCUGCCAGGAGCCCCAAUAUCCUGGGACCCCAUAGGGAGGGGCCCUGCUCCAGCCCAUGGUCAGGCUGAGAGCUCAGGCCCAGUGUGGCCCUGGCCCCAGGCCUGGCCGGACGAUCCAGCCUUCCAGCAGGGUGUGAGGCCCUCCGACCCCAUACUUAGCAGAACCUCCCUGCCCCGUCCCCUCUGGGUGCCCGGCGGUGGUCUCUCCUGGGGGCCAUGAGCUCCUCUACCUUCCCCCAGAAGCCUGAGGAGCUUAGGGAGGGUCAGCACACCCACCGGGUACCCCACAGAUCAGUAGCCAAGUGGCAUCUGCUCUCUCCCUCCCUGCGCGACCAGCCCCACGUUCUGCACUUUCCCUUCUGAGCACCCACCCCUCUCCCCCCUUCCAAUGCCUCACGACUAAGCAAGUGGGCUCUGGAAGCACAGAUCUGAGUUCAAAUCCCCAGCCUGCCACUCAGUGGCUGUGGCUUCUUGGGCAAAUAUGUCACCUCCCCCACCCCCCAUUAUUCUCGUUUUAAAGUAUAGAUAAUAAUAGAAUUUACAUCAAAGGGCUGUCGUUAAGAUUAACAGGCGUAGUGAAUACUGUGCCUUUGGAGACCUUCCCCCAGGCUGAGC
rnacentral:lncRNA from 12 species